UCUGUAAGGACCGCAUUGACGACUUUGUUCAAUCAAGGACCAACGCUACAGUAUCUUCAAGAUGAAGUUUACCUCGGCAAUCUUGAUUGUAGCCUUGGCAGCAGCACUCCUGGCGGCCGUAAUUGCUGCCGAAGAGAUAACUGUUGGAAGUGGAGGAGGUGGAACUGGCAGCGGAUGCCCGGACUCCACAGCAUGCACCAAAAGCUGUAAGAAACAGGGCUACAGCGUUGGAAUCUGUCUAGAGCCUCUUCUUACCGUCUGUGCGUGCUUGUAAUACUGAGCUGAUCAGACCGUUGAGU